rnacentral:misc_RNA from 1 species
CCUAAGAGAUACGUGUUAUGUGAAGUGCUCACACAGAUUGUCUGAUGAAGAACGAGCAAAAGCGCGUCUGCGAAGCUGACAGAAGUCCCCUUCGUCUAGAGGCCUAGGACACCGCCCUUUCACGGCGGUAACAGGGGUUCGAAUCCCCUAGGGGACGCCAAUGCGCGGUAUGAGUGAAAGGCGUACCACUUAUCUGACGAGAGUCAGAGAAUAACUAAGCUAAUUCAAAUGAGUUAUCUUACUUAUUAUGCUCUUUAACAAUCUGGAACAAGCUGAAAAAUUGAAAACAAAUCAAUAUAUCACCGAGGUAUAUUGAUGAGUCUCUCAAAAUCUCAAACCUUAAAGUUUGUCACGCAAAGUUUAUCUUUGAAGGAGACACUUUCGGGUUGUGA